CAGUCGCCGCGGUAACACGUAGGGUGCAAGCGUUAAUCGGAAUUACUGGGCGUAAAGCGUGCGCAGGCGGUUUUGUAAGACAGAGGUGAAAUCCCCGGGCUCAACCUGGGAACUGCCUUUGUGACUGCAAGGCUAGAGUACGGCAGAGGGGGAUGGAAUUCCGCGUGUAGCAGUGAAAUGCGUAGAUAUGCGGAGGAACACCGAUGGUGAAGGCAAUCCCCUGGGCCUGUACUGACGCUCAUGCACGAAAGCGUGGGGAGCAAACAGGAUUAGAUACCCCAGUAGUCCCUGUCUCUUAUAC
rnacentral:rRNA from 1 species